CUGGCCGCCCUUCCCUCACCUCCACCAGAGUGGUGUGUAGCCGGAAUAUCUAGCCGCCCUUCCCUCACCCCCACCAGAGUGGUGUGCAGCUGGAAUAUCUGGCCGCCCUUCCCUCACCUCCACCAGAGUGGUGUGCAGCUGGAAUAUCUGGCUGCCCUUCCCUCACCUCCACCAGAGUGGUGUGCAGCUGGAAUAUCUGGCCGCCCUUCCCUCACCUCCGCCAGCGUGGUGUGCAGCUGGAAUAUCUCCUCAUGGAAAUGGAGGCUCAGGGAGGGUUGGGAGCUUCGGGGGGCAGUUCAGGCCUCUCCACCCAGAUGGGGAGGGGUCAAGUGCCCUAAGCUAGCCAGCUGAGUUGGUGUCAGGCCCUCAGUUCCAGAAGGGAGCUGAGGGUGGGUAGGUGGGGGAGGGAAAGGCACAGGUGUGUGUGUGUCAGGGGCUAGGGGGCCUUGUGUGCGUGUGAGGGUGUGACAGGGCAGAAGUGUGCAUGUGGCUGCCCAUUGCCCUGAAUUUGGGGACAUGCCUGGGGAUGGCUGGGAGCCUAGAGACUGGGGUGGGAGGAGACAGAGACAGUGAGAGAUCCAGGGAGGGGUAAGGCCACAGGACAGAGGUAGGAGGCAGGGCCCGGGAGGGAGCUGGGCUUCCCGGGCAGCCCUUAAGUGGUGCCCCUCCCCAUCCAUCAGCCCAGCCCUCACCUGGUAUUUGGCCAGCAGCUUGCUCCUCCAAUGGGCAUGGGGGAGGUCAUGGAGGGAGAGGCGCAGGUUGUGGUAACUGUCCUUGAACAUUAGGGGUUUCGGCUCCUCCACCAAGUAGCCGCCCAGAGUCCGCUCCAGCUCCAGCACCUCCUGUGGGCCAGGGGCAUGGGGAAGGGGAACCCAUCACACUUGGCCAAUGGGCCUCUUCUGUGGCACUCUGCG
rnacentral:lncRNA from 1 species